UAAGCAUAUCAAUAAGCGGAGGAAAAGAAACUAACAAGGAUUCCCCUAGUAACUGCGAGUGAAGCGGGAAAAGCUCAAAUUUAAAAUCUGGCAGUCUCUGGCUGUCCGAGUUGUAAUCUAGAGAAGUAAUGCCCGUGCUGGACCGUGUAUAAGUCUCCUGGGAUGGGGCGUCAUAGAGGGUGAGAAUCCCGUCUUUGACACGGACUACCAGUGCAUUGUGGUAUGCUCUCAAAGAGUCGAGUUGUUUGGGAAUGCAGCUCAAAAUGGGUGGUAAAUUCCAUCUAAAGCUAAAUAUUGGCGAGAGACCGAUAGCGAACAAGUACCGUGAGGGAAAGAUGAAAAGAACUUUGGAAAGAGAGUUAAACAGUACGUGAAAUUGCUGAAAGGGAAACGCUUGAAGUCAGUCGCGUUGGCCGGGAAUCAGCCUUGCUUCUGCAUGGUGUACUUUCUGGUUGACGGGUCAGCAUCAAUUUUGACCGCUGGAAAAAGGCCUGGGGAAUGUGGCAGCUUCGGCUGUGUUAUAGCCCCUAGUUGCAUACAGUGGUUGGGAUUGAGGAACUCAGCACGCCGCAAGGCCGGGUUUCGACCACGUUCGUGCUUAGGAUGCUGGCAUAAUGGCUUUAAGCGACCCGUCUUGAAACACGGACCAAGGAGUCUAACAUGCCUGCGAGUAUUUGGGUGGAAAACUCAAGUGCGUAAUGAAAGUGAAAGUUGAGAUCCCUGUCGUGGGGAGCAUCGACGCCCGGACCAGAACUUUUGGGACGGAUCCGCGGUGGAGCAUGUAUGUUGGGACCCGAAAGAUGGUGAACUAUGCCUGAAUAGGGUGAAGCCAGAGGAAACUCUGGUGGAGGCUCGUAGCGAUUCUGACGUGCAAAUCGAUCGUCAAAUUUGGGUAUAGGGGCGAAAGACUAAUCGAACCAUCUAGUAGCUGGUUCCUGCCGAAUUCC
rnacentral:rRNA from 1 species